rnacentral:rRNA from 1 species
AUACGUAGGGGACGAGCGUUGUCCGGAAUUACUGGGCGUAAAGGGCGCGCAGGCGGAUAUUUAAGUCAGCUGUAAAAGGCAUGAGCUCAACUCAUGUAUGCGGUUGAAACUGGGUAUCUAGAGUGCUGGAGAGGUAGGCGGAAUUCCCGGUGUAGCGGUGAAGUGCGUAGAUAUCGGGAAGAACACCAGUGGCGAAGGCGGCUUACUGGCCAGCAACUGACGCUGAGGCGCGAAAGCCAGGGGAGCGAACGGGAUUAGAUACCCCGGUAGUCCUGGCCGUAAACGAUGAAUGCUAGGUGUGGGUGUCGAGAGGCAUCCGUGCCGGAGUUAACGCGAUAAGCAUUCAGCCUGGGGAGUACGAUCGCAAGAUUGAAACUCAAAUGAAUUGGCGGGG